GUACAUCUACAGACCACAACUACAACGCUGGAGUGAACCAGUCAUACAGGUUUUGAGUGAGGGGCCCACUAAAUUAUGGGUUAUGUUCCAGGGGUGGGUCCAACCUUAGAGGCUUCAGGAGACGCCCAAAGGAGGGUGUGGUUCUUGUGACUACAGAAGGAUCCACAGUCGCUCCGCAGUCACAUCUGCAACUUGGGUUUCUUUGAUCCUUCAAAGGUUUUCAUCCCUCAGGUAAGUGAGAACCUGUUUCUCCGUGUUUGACCUCUCUUGAGCAGCAUUUCUUUACGUAUCGCUACCGAGACCGAGAAGAACAUUUAAAUCUGCUGAACUACAUGUAAGUUCUUAUUCCAGGCACCAUGGCAGAUAAAUCAGAGCAGACAAUCCUCACAGCAAUGGACUUCUUAAAGGAGACCUUCUUCAAAUAUGCUGACACGGACGACGACAAAGGCACCAUGAGCAAAAAGGAACUUGCUGACUUGCUCCGCAAACAUGUGAACAUUACAAUUGAAAGCCAUUAUGAUUACUUUUUCAAAACGAUGGAUGAAGACAAAGAUGCCAAAAUUACCUUUAAGGAGUACAUGUAUUUUCUUACCGAUAUGCAUAACUUCCGUUAGAAAAGAUGUUCGCAUCAGAUCACUCAUGUUGUUUCAUUUCUGUGGGACAGCUGAGGUGUCGAAACAUCAUGUUGUGAUUGUUCAGCUGAAAUGUGCCUCACUGGAUCUGAGGAACAUCUGAGAAAACAACAAAUAAAUGAUGCACUUCUUAAAAACCGUGUGUGUGUGUGUGUGUGUGUGUGUGUGUGUGUGUGUGUCUCCUGAAAGACAGAAAAAAACCAUAAACACUUGCAUCUGAUGUUGGGGGGGGGUGGUGUAUGCUACGUUGGGCUUGUUGCUGACAGUUUAUCAAUAAAAUGUCCCAGC
rnacentral:lncRNA from 1 species